rnacentral:tRNA from 1 species
UGUGGCUAUGGCUUAGUGAUAGAGUACUUGCCUGGCAUGUAUGAGACACUGGGUUUGAUUCUCAGCACCACAA